GGGCUCUGUCCAGAUGCGCCUGGGCGUCGUGUUCGGAUUGUUCUGUCACCCAUCGCCCUGUCUCAUUUUUCUCCUCGACCUCGUGCACCUUAGUUUACUUCCACUUUGUAUGCACAACUCACAAGUAGUCAGGGCCGAGGGAGCUCAGAGGAAGAAGCAGAUACUGGAACUACUGGGUGCUACAGCAGUUGGUGACUGCUUUCAGGGAAGGCACAGACUUCAUUGAAGUCAUAACAAAUAUAGGCUUUUCAGGAGGGAUCGACCAUGGAGAUCUUGAGUCAAAUGCUUGAGGAGAAGGGAAUCAGUUGCGUUCAGAGAUGUAGCUGUGGACUUCACUCCAGAGGAACUGAGGCAUCUGGAACCUGCUCAGAAGGACCUCUACAGGGAAGUGAUGCUAGAGAACUAUAGGAACCUAGUAUUGCUGG